CACACACACACAUACACAAGCAGUCAGUCACCUCUUUAAAGAACACUCCCCUUGAGAAAGGGCCUUUCAUUGUGCAUCUCUGAAUGCAAGAAAAAGGGUCCACUUUCAAGUCAAGGCACUCCCACAAGUCCUGGCCACUUGGAAGUGUUGUUCCCAGGGCUGCCCCGCUCUAUCUCAGCAUCUUGGCGCUGGAUGAAUGGAGGCGGCCACAGGGCCUCUGGAACCAGGGGGAAAGGGAAUACUCUUGGACCCGUGUGAUGUGUCUCAGUGUCUCUCCAUCCCCCUCGAGGAUCAGAGUGAACGCCGGUUGAACAUACGAAGAAGAGGAGAAGAGGAUAUCCCUGCUCUUGGACCUAACGAAACUACUGUAAUCCAAACUACGGAGCACUGUGGUUCUCAUCCAAACUACAGAGCACUUUACUCUACACUUUAUGUGGGUAAAAGUAAACCCAUAACCAAGACAGGACAAGAUGGUAGGAACAUUCCAACUGCAGCAGUUGACCACAUGUCUCAUGUACCCCUCUUGAAGCUAUGUGAGCAGAGAAAUAUUUUACCACCUCAGCAGGUCUGGGUUUAAAUCAAAGACACUUUUACGUGCACAUGUAUCAAGGUGUGUGUGUGUGUGUGUGUGUGUGUGUGUGUGUGUGUGUGUGUGUGUGUGUGUGUGUGUGUUUUGUGUAUUUUGUGUGGGUUUUAUGCAGUACUUUUGUACUGUAAAUUAUACAGCAUAUUUUGUGUCACUAUACAGUAUUAACAUGUGUAUAUAGGAAUAUUGCAUGUAUUAUUUUCAUAUCACAACAACGUAUACAAUGUUCUGUGUCUUUGGCAUAUGGAAUAUAUCAAUGUGUUUUGUGAGUUUGUACAAUAAUGUGAAUAUUUGCAUGUACACGCACGCAUGCCACCAUCACGAUGAUU